rnacentral:lncRNA from 7 species
AAGGAAACUGAAGUUGCACUUUGAGGAGAGACGAGAUCAUGAGGAAGCAAUACUCCCCUGUGCUCUCCUUGUGCCUGAUGGCCCUUGUCGUAGCUGCUAUGGUCUGUGUCAUGUACACCACCUCGGCACAAGCAGGUAAGGUCGUGUUUGGAAGUGUAGUUACAGUUUUGAAACAAUAUUAUGGUAUUUAGUGAUACUAUAGUAUUGUAACUCAAAAGAUGUUUGUUUUGUACAGGUAAAACAUAGUUUUAAAUACUAUGGUUUACCUAAAACCAUUAUAUUUUUGGAAUUUUCGAAACUCCACUCAUCAUUUUAAUGUUCUUUUCUUCUCUUUACAAAUACUUUGUUUUUCUAAUAGAACCAAACAGAUCUCGGUUUUGAGUAAUACUGUAGUUUUAUAUAUGCAUGCGUGUUUCAUACGUACGUGGUAGCUACAGUUUACGUCUAAUUACCCAAUCGUCUUUACCUUCUUCACCACAGGAAGGAGUGGCUACAACUCGUACGAACCUGAUGGAAGGAGUGGAUACAACUCUGUUCCAAUAAACGGCGGUGGCAGCCCCUAGCCAGGCGGUGGAGCCUGUAUCAGAAAUCAAAAAAAUAUAAAGGCUCAUCGGAUGAAAACUGUGUGUGUAUUCUGUCAUGUCAUGUGUGUUGGUAUAUGAUGGCUUGGUCGUCGUAAUUAAUGUAAUGUGUGGACAAUAAAUAUGCGGGGUUGCACC